CUCAGGACGAACGCUGGCGGCGUGCCUAACACAUGCAAGUCGAGCGAGGAGAUCCUUCGGGAUGAUCCUAGCGGCGGACGGGUGAGUAACACGUGGGCAACCUGCCUCAUAGAGAGGAAUAGCCUUCCGAAAGGGAGAUUAAUACCUCAUAACAUUGCAGUUUCGCAUGGAACAGCAAUUAAAGGAGUAAUCCGCUAUGAGAUGGGCCCGCGGCGCAUUAGCUAGUUGGUGAGGUAACGGCUCACCAAGGCGACGAUGCGUAGCCGACCUGAGAGGGUGAUCGGCCACAUUGGGACUGAGACACGGCCCAGACUCCUACGGGAGGCAGCAGUGGGGAAUAUUGCACAAUGGGGGAAACCCUGAUGCAAGCAACGCCGCGUGAGUGAUGACGGCCUUCGGGUUGUAAAGCUCUGUCUUCAGGAACGAUAAUGACGGUACCUGAGGAGGAAGCCACGGCUAACUACGUGCCAGCAGCGGC
rnacentral:rRNA from 1 species